UCAGUUUGUCAUUGCCAUCUAAAAUGCAUUGAGCUGUCACAUUAGAGAAGCAACUCGAUACGUCAGUCCCCUCGCUGCCGUCCCUCUCUCUCCAUCAUUUGCACUGCUCUGCCAGUCUCCAUUCAGCUUCACUGCGGCGCUCUGUUCUCCUGCUCUCACUCUCUCUCUCUUCUUCUGAUCGCCUACCAUCCUUCCAUUAGCGGACCCUAAGCAUUUUACUCAAAGUCGUGAAAGCAUUGAAAGCGCUCUCCUUUCUUGGUGUGCUCGUUUUUUUUGUCAAUCAAUUUCGAAGGUGUUGCUGCUGUGGCUGAUGUUGCCCGUGGAUGUUGUUGCUGGUGCUGCUACCGUUUGUCGUUGCGUGCACUUUAGUGGAAAUUGCUGUUGACGUUGGUUGUAUGGAAUACUUCUCAGUACCUGCAUUACAUCGAGUGCUCCAAUAUUUUCAACGCUAAGCCCAUUCCCACAGGGACACUUGUUUAUGCCAAAGUAUGAAAUUUCCAUCAUCUUUCGGUAUAUCUGCUCAUUCAAAACCUGCCUGAUCAUUAGCAACAAGUUCUAAGUUCUUCACGGCUCUAAUGGACACGAUCGAUCAUGCAGCACGCCCAUCCCUGAGUCUCUCUCUCUCUUUCACUCAGGUCUUGGGACUUGAUCUCUCUCGAGCAGCGUCUUUGUUUGUCACACAAAUGAAGAGUUGAUGAGGAUGACGAUGAUGAUGAGAAGUAGCAUAAAGAUGAGGAGGGAGGGAGGGAGGACGAUGACGAUGACGAAGCGGAUGAAGAAGAUCAACUCGAGAAAAACCUCAGCGCUCAAUCAGCCGUUGAGGGUUCGAUGCGGUGCGGACAGGGGACCGGGGUUCGGGGUACAUUCGGGGGUUCGUGGUUCAGCUUCAGGUUCUUUCAUUUCAGAAUAUUGUUUGUCAUGGCCUGCCAGGGAGUGGGGGGGCGAGCGAUUGUCUCUGGCUGGACUCGGGUUGUUAGAGGCUCACUCAGAUUGUUGUUUGCUGCCUGUCGUGGGUCUGGGGCACGUCACAAGGAUGCCUCAAACACAAUGGACUGGGACACUUGUGCCGGAGAACACAGAGUUUGCCCUUUGUUCGACGCUGCUCAAUGUGUGCAAUGAGCAAUGAUUAAAUUAAUUAUGCCUGGCAGGUAGCUCUCCAGAUACUAGACACAGGCGAACCACUCAUAGAAAUGCACGGAGCGUGAAGAAAGCGUUGGCAGAGCCAGAACCUGUCUACAAAAGGACAUUUGAUAUUUUUGACACUUUUCUCGGGGCUCGCACAGGGACUUGUAAAUCGAACACAAAAAGAUAAAAAGAGACAGGCAAAAAAGGAAAGAAAAAAAAUGCACUGAUUGCACAUGGCAAAUGGCAAUCCCUCGACCUAGCCCUAGCUCUAUCCCAGGCUCUGGAGCCAACAAUUGAAGUGUAAUUUAUGACAACAAUGAGCGACGCUGCUGCACCGAGCCUGCUGCUGUCUGUCUUUGUGCUCGAGAUCGCUGCAGGUCAAGGCUCCCCCGAACCAACGAUCCGAACCGACUGAUCCCCAUGACAAAUGCCGGUGGCUGUGCCUGUCUCUCCCAUCGAUCGCAGCGAGAUAAGCCCUUGAUCAGGUUGAGCAGACACUUGCAAUGGCGAAAGCCGAUACGAUUUGUAUUCGUUGUUUGUUUGUGUGUGGGUUCAGGGGUUAGAGCUGGGUUUGCCGAUAGAGAGUUUGGAAUGGCAAAGGGCUGGGCAAGAGAUCGGCUAUCUCCGCGCGGAUAAGAACGCUCCCAGACACAACAACAACAACAGGAAAUGUGCAAUGAAAAUGGAAGGGAAAAUUACUGAUUGAUUUGGCAGAAUUUUGGCUGAGUAGAUCAUCCUUCAACGACUUUACAGCUUGACGUUUCCUGGUUAAAAUAACAAUAAUCCAAUCUUUGAUCCACGAAAUUAGAUCCACAAAACGUUGAAAAUGCUCCUCAAUUUUAGAGCUAUCAAUAACGUCAUAAAAUCUCCAGUUUCACCCGGAAUUGACAGCCCGGAAUCCAAACAAUCUUCAGAGCAAGUAAACAAGACAUUAAAGUGGACAUAAAAGUUAUGAGUUUACACAAAAAGAAUCAACUGAAAAUUGUUAGUUAAAUGGCAGAAAGUUCAAAGUUUGCCCAUGC